AGGACGAACGCUGGCGGCGUGCUUAACACAUGCAAGUCGAGCGGUAAGGCUCCUUCGGGAGUACACGAGCGGCGAACGGGUGAGUAACACGUGAGCAAUCUGCCCUUCACUCUGGGAUAACCCCCGGAAACGGGAGCUAAUACCGGAUACGACCACCUCAGGCAUCUGAUGGUGGUGGAAAGUUCCGGCGGUGAAGGAUGAGCUCGCGGCCUAUCAGCUUGUUGGUGAGGUAAUGGCUCACCAGGCUUCGG
rnacentral:rRNA from 1 species